GAUGAAGAACGUAGCGAAAUGCGAUAAGUAAUGUGAAUUGCAGAAUUCAGUGAAUCAUCGAAUCUUUGAACGCACAUUGCGCCCGCCAGUAUUCUGGCGGGCAUGCCUGUUCGAGCGUCAUUUCAACCAUCAAGCCCUGCUUGCGUUGGGGUCCUGCGGCUGCCCGCAGGCCCUGAAAACCAGUGGCGGGCUCGCUAUCACACCGAGUGCAGUAGAUUACUCUUCGCUCAGGGCGUGCAGCGGGUUCCGGCCGUGAAACCCCCUACUUUUAAAGGUUGACCUCGGAUCAGGUAGGAAUACCCGCUGAACUUAAGCAUAUCAUAAGCGGAGGA
rnacentral:misc_RNA from 1 species